UCCUAGCCUUAUAAUCAGUUAUUACUCAACUUACACAUGCAAGUAUCCGCACCCCUGUGAGAACGCCCUCAAACCCCUUCAGGGGUCAGGAGCUGGUAUCAGGCUCGACUCCCCAGCCCAUGACACCUAGCAACGCCACACCCACAAGGGUAUACAGCAGUGAUUAACAUUGAACAUAAGCGCAAGCUUGACUCAGUCAGAGCAAGCAGAGCCGGCAAAUCUGGUGCCAGCCGCCGCGGCCACACCAGGGGCUCAAACUGAUUAUGUUCGGCGUAAAGCGUGAUUAAAGCUAUUUUAAACUGCAGUUAAAUUGGAACUAAACCGUGAAACCAUGGAACCCAGGAAACACAAAAACGAAAGUCACUGCAAUAUAACCCACUUGAUCUCACGACAGUCAGGACACAAACUGGGAUUAGAUACCCCACUAUGCCUCACCGUAAACUUUAAAUUUACACCCAAAUCGCCAGGGAACUACGAGCAAUGCUUAAAACCAAAGGACUUGACGGUGCCCCACACCACCUAGAGGAGCCUGUCCUAUAAUCGAUAACCCACGUUUAACCUCACCACUCUUUGCUUAUCAGUCUGUAUACCUCCGUCGUCAGCUUGCCGCGUGAGCGAUUUCAAUAAGCGAAAAGGUCCUCACACCAAAACGUCAGGUCAAGGUGCAGCUUACAGAGCGGGAAGAGAUGGGCUACACUCUCUAAUAUAGAAAAUAGAAAGACUUUAUGAAAUUCUAGUCAGAAGGCGGAUUUAGCAGUAAAACGAGAUGAUAAAGCUCGCUUAAACAUGGCCCUGGGGUGUGUACACACCGCCCGUCACCCUCUUCGAAAUCCCUAAAAAAAGUAUAUAACA
rnacentral:ncRNA from 1 species